rnacentral:rRNA from 1 species
AAUUACCCAAUCCUGACACAGGGAGGUAGUGACAAGAAAUAACAAUACAGGGCUUAAAGUCUUGUAAUUGGAAUGAUGGGAAUCUAAACCCUUCCCAGAGUAUCAAUUGGAGGGCAAGUCUGGUGCCAGCAGCCGCGAUAAUUCCAGCUCCAAUAGCGUAUAUUAAAGUUGUUGCAGUUAAGAAGCUCGUAGUUGAAUUUCUGCCUUGUCAUUAAUCUCGCUUCCGAGCGUUUUUUUAUUGACUUGGCAUCUUCUGGAUUUGGUGCCUUCGGGUACUAUUUUCCAGGAUUUGCUUUGAGAAAACUAGAGUGUUUCAAACGGGCAUUCGCCUUGAAUACUACAGCAUGGAAUAAUGAAGUAGGACUUUGGUUCUAUUUUGUUGGUUAUUGAGCCAGAGUAAUGGUUAAUAGGAGCAGUUGGGGGCAUUCGUAUUUAA